AUCUGCAGGUCCUCAUGAUAGAAAAUUUACUUACUAGGCUCCUCAGGUCUGUCUUUAAAGCGGUUAGGCUGACCACUUAAGUAUUUUUAGGUUAGGUAUCAUUAUGUGUACCUGAGGGAGGAAGACGUGGACUUCCAAGAGGCUGUGGUGGUAUGACUCAGUUGUUGUAUGUGCAGUUAGGACCUGUAGACUAGAUAAAACCAGCACCUCGUAGAAAUCUUGGAUCUGAGUAGUAAAUGACCAACACAGUUUAUCUAAAAUCUGCAACUGGGGCUCAUCUGAGUAUUUGCAAGAGGAAACAACUCAACAUGAGUAAGAACUUUCAAGAUCAGACCCAUAAUACUGGUGCUACUAGUAGAUGAUUAAAUCUAUGUACGAGACCUUCUCAUUUCUAGAGAACGACUGUCUCAAUGAUCUCCGACCGCCUAAUACUAUUGCUUUUUAAGACAGACAAUGUAGGUCUUCCUGUUUAUUUUCCCAACUAACAAGUCAGUCAAGUAACCUUUUAGGAAAUACUACAGGUCACUUCUGUAGCAUACCUCACUGCAUGGAAACCUUUAUUGCCAGGAUGAAUGAUAUUCUUAGAUAUUCAUGGGAAGUAAACAGCAAUAAUCCUGACAGGAGGUGUUGGCAGAAUGAAGUGUGAACAGGAAGUGAUUAAAGAUAAAAGACAAUCUCAGGAGUUACCUUUAGCUCACUGUGUGAUUAUAGGUGUGGUUAAAACAGGUCACAACAGAGCGUAACACCUGCUGACAACAAAGCUAAUCGGAGAUCCAAAGUUCGCUCGUCACUCAGGCUAGAUUGAGAUUAUAUAACCAGACCGAUCACACUGAAUAAAAUUCUUGGUGCUUAACAUAUGCUUUUCAGCUUUAACUGUGUUUCAGUGUAGGCAGAAACAUAUGCUACAUGUCUCAUAAGCAAAGCUGUAGUGACACCUACAUUAAGCUUCCAAGACAUUUAGCAUUAAAACAUUUACCUUCAUUUUCAUUACAAUUAUGCACAGAAUGAGGCAGGAGCCCAGGCAAAAACAAUGUGUGAUCAUGUAAUAAGGACGGCUUCAUAAUGACAAGGGAGGCAAAUGAUGGUUGCACCAUCCACCUUCAUUAGUGUAUUUCCCAACCUCUGUGAGUUUUGUGUUGGGUGUUGGGUGUGUUUUUUUAACUUGUAGUCCCAUUGGACAUCUUCCAUCUUUCCUUACAUCUUUCAUGUAAGUUUUCAGCUAAUACUUUACUUACUCUCUAAAACAGAAAACCAUACAUAUUAUCUAUAUGAUUAUCAAAGUAUUGUUGGCUAGUAUCAAUAUUGUAUCUGUCUUAAUUUGUGAUGGGUUCGUGUUUGUGAGUAACAGGAUGUGUGUGACAAAUGUGGGCCAUGUAGUUUGUGCAUGUUAUCUUGGUAUCUUCUUCCAUUUCUGUGCAUACAAAUCCUGAAUCCUUGGGCUUUGGGAAAAGAGACAGAAAAGAUAAUAUCAUGAGCAAUACUCAGUGUUUCAACAGAUCUCUUUGAAGUUACUCUUCUGGUUUACAGCCUGGCAUUGAUACCCCUCCAUACUGAUUCUGUGGCUCACCUUGACCUGUCUUCAGAGAAAUCUUCUGUGACAAUCUAGAAGGGACAUGUUUUCCUGUGGGGAGUGGGAUGUGCAGGUCUUGCAUGGGACGUACCCUACCCGCAGAGGUAGACUUGUCAUUUACAUUUCAAAUGAUCAAAAGCCAGCAGAAUAAAGAAAUCCUUUAGCGAGCGGCACUCACCGGGGAUUAGCUGUGAGUGGACCGAACAACUUGGUGGCUCCCCGGUGGGGUGACCUCUGACUCCCGGGUCAGAUGGCGACUCAUCUCGUGCCUCCUGACUGAAGCAAGCUGAGGGUUCCCAACAAGUGUUCUCCCCAUCCUCACCGGUUUCCCUCCAUGCAGCAAUGGGCAGUGCCGAAGAUGAGCUCUGUGUUAUCACAGCUGCUAUUCCACAAAAGCGGGGGAAAAUGAUAAAGUAUAUAGAAUAUCAAAGGCUACGGUAACUGUUAUUGGAAGGAAACUGUAACCUCUUUUACCACCUAAAGGGACCUGUCUGCUUUCCUCCUCUGUAACUUCAGAGCUGCUUUUCCAGCAGGGGUUUUCCCUGCGUAGCAGCGGUGCUUCAAUUCAUUGCAGAGUUGAAAGGCGGCAAGAGUGGCUUUUGGAAACGUUUCUGCUAUGGAUGGUAACUCUACCCAGGCCUGAUGGUAUCACAGAUCCUGUGGUGGUGGCAGAGAAAGGUUUAAAGGGAGUCGUGCACAAGCUUUAAAUGCUAUAUCUGAACUGAACCCAUUUACUUCAGCUAGGAAUUCACAAGCAAUGCGUUUCGGAGGCAAAACACAGUAAGAAGAGAAGCCAAAAAUUAAACUGAAACCUUACGUGUAAUGGAGGUCAGAUUUUGUGUGUAAGGCUAAUAUGUAGAUGAGUAUCACUGAACAAAUGAGUUAUGCAGAUUAACUCUGCCUUUGAGAAAAUUGGUUAAAUACUAUGCUAUCCACUGUUUUACACAGUCUUUGAAAUCCUGGCUGUUUUACAAAGCAGUCGACUGCAUCUUUUAUCAGGUUAUCAAGGGUUUGGAUCAAUUCAUGAUGAAUAAGCGUCCAACCUACUCUAUUGAAAGCUCUGUCAGUCAUUGUAGUAUACCGGUAGGUUUUCAAGAAACAGCUGUGGAAAAGGAACCUUUCCCUCUUAGCUAUUGUUGGAGAAAAAGUAACAAAUCGCUUUCAUUGUUGGAAGGGAGUGUUGGCUCACACAAAGUCAGGUUAAGUGAUGUGUGUUAUUUUAUAUGUGAAUAAACUGGAUGGAGUUAGGCAAACCUCCAGUGUAUUAAAGCAUUGCACCUUAAAAUGAGAUUUCCAAACAAUUCAAAGGAAUUAAGCUCCAGUGCAGUUUAGAUUGAUGCCCUGGCAUGCAAUGAAUGGGGGAGGAAUAAAACAGUGAUAUUGAAUAUACUAUACAUAUUUAAGUAAGUAUGCAUUUGAUACAUGUUCAUGUGCAAAUACAAACAUAAUUAUAUGUGUUAGCUUUUUGCUUCUCCGCCAUUAAUUAGUAGUUGAUUUCUUGUAAACAUGCAUGGCAGAAGAAUGCUCUUGGAGGCUUUAUUAAAAGAAUAGGCUGUAGCAGCUGUAGAGAUAUUUAGGGAUGAGGAGGUAGGCAGAUAGGAAGAAGUUGUGUAGAAGGCUGGCAAGGAGCAGGAGUAGUUAUGGAGGGGCAGGCAAUCUGCAAUAGGCAUAAAAAGGGGAAGACCUUUAGGAUUAAGAAUACGGCAAACUUUGUGCCCUUCUGGUAUCUCCUUUGUCCAUCACUUUGCACAGACCUGUUUUUUGUUUGUUUGUUUGUUUGUUUUUCCCAAGUUGGUUGCAGGUGAUGAAAUGGCUUUAAACUGUUAGCCAUUAGGAAACAGUCAGAAAGCUGUGAUGUGCAUUUCAUGAUCAACUGUGUCUGUUCACCAAUGCUCUUGUGACUAUUGCACUGUUUCAGGGAGAUGAUCCAGCCAAAAAGUAACCUGAAAAAGAAUUGCUGAGCUCUGUGAACCUGUUCCCUAGGAUCACAUAAGUCUGAGAUCUGCAAAUCCAAUCUGUUUUAUUGAUACACAUGAAGAUGCACUGAUAUAAGAGAGGCAGCACUGGACCAUGGCACGGAGUAGAGGUGGGUGGCCUUGCACCUGGGGAAACUGAGUGGCAGAACAGGAGACUGAACAGAAGAAGUGUGUUAACCAGUGAUACUGGUAAUUCCUGAUGCACUCUGUGCCCUGAGCCAGCUUCUGCUUUUAGUUCAUAUACACCCACAGUGACUCCACAUCGAAGUGGCCUUAGCUGUUGAACGACUACCUGUCAGUAUGGUAACGCUCACCAAACAUGGCAUUUAUGAGAUCAACGUCAUUUUGAGAUGUUUUUAUACCU